GAUGAACGCUGGCGGCGUGCUUAACACAUGCAAGUCGAACGGGAAACCUUUUAUUGAAGCUUCGGCAGAUUUAGCUGGUUUCUAGUGGCGGACGGGUGAGUAACGCGUGGGUAACCUGCCUUAUACAGGGGGAUAACAACCAGAAAUGGUUGCUAAUACCGCAUAAGCGCACAGGACCGCAUGGUCCGGUGUGAAACACUCCGGUGGUAUAAGAUGGACCCGCGUUGGAUUAGCUAGUUGGCAGGGUAACGGCCUACCAAGGCGACGAUCCAUAGCCGGCCUGAGAGGGUGAACGGCCACAUUGGGACUGAGACACGGCCCAGACUCCUACGGGAGGCAGCAGUGGGGAAUAUUGCACAAUGGGGGAAACCCUGAUGCAGCGACGCCGCGUGAAGGAAGAAGUAUCUCGGUAUGUAAACUUCUAUCAGCAGGGAAGAUAGUGACGGUACCUGACUAAGAAGCCCCGGCUAACUACGUG
rnacentral:rRNA from 1 species